rnacentral:tRNA from 1 species
CUCCUCGUAGCACAAUGGACAGUGCGCAUGCCUCCUAAGCGUGAAAUACAGGUUCGAUUCCUGUCGGGGGGACCA